UUGUUCGAUGAAAAGCUUCAGUUCUUUGAGCUUAGCUGCGUCCAUACUGCGAGCGAUCAAAGCGAUUGGUAAUGGAAUUGGAAACGGAGGAGACAAACUGUAGAGUAGUCUGGGACGAAGUGGACUGCCCGACCGGGUCUUCCAGUAGCUUCUAUUGGAUUUGGAGCUUUGGACCCUCUACGUGAGAUUAAUCAGUUUCACG
rnacentral:misc_RNA from 1 species